GGUCCCUCGCGAGUCCCGGGCGCAGCACAACUUGCUGUCUUUCCCUGGCGGGGACAGCGCGGCACCAAAGAAGACUGUCUUUCUUGCCUUUGCCACUAUCCCGACGGAGAUCGAGGCGAGUCUGGAGAGCUGGGGUGGAGGGUCAGGGGGACCCACCCGGAGAGCCCGCCGGCUGCGGCCGUGCGGCCCGGGAACACGGUGGAUGCCGGCUCCAGCUUUGGCAGGCGAGGCACGCGCCGCCUCUUCCCCGCCCUCCCUUUGCCGCUGUCCCCUCCCCUCGGCCCCGCCGCGCAGUCCUGGACGCGCGAGAGUGGGGGCGGCAGACAGACUGAGAAUCCAGGGAGAAAGUUGCUCGCCUUCCCCGCAGCUCCCCGGGGGCGCCGAGGCCACACCCGACCCCUGUUUGCUUUUCUGGGUCAAACCCUGGGGUCUGGGGCUGCAGUGUUCGCGCGGCCUUUAUGAGGACCAGGAUGGGAAGUAGCCUCAGAGAUGGGGAGAGCGAUGUCUAUGAGCUUUAAGGGGCUCUUGAGAAGUGGUCACUUUGGAGGGCAGAGAGCAUGACGGGUGUGGACAUAGGAAAGAGAAGGCUGGGCACGCCAUGCGAGGCUGCUGGAUUCCGUGGGGGCAAAGCCAGAAAGAAAGAAGGCAGGCUACUCCCCUGCCAGCCUCUCCCAACAGCUGCAAACCUUUGGGAACUUCUUUCAAGACAUUUCUCUUCCUCUUUUUCCUCUUCCUCUUUCCUGGGUUUCCCCCCACUCCCUUACCUCCCCUCUCACCCUCUCUCCUCUUUCUGCUACCCUCCUUUCUCCUCCCGUCCCCUUCCCUGCCUCUUACCCACUCCACUCCCCAACCCAUGAUCAGCUUUAACAUCUAUCUACACAACCUUUGAAUUUCCUUUCUGAAAAUCUGCUCCUUUUGAUUUCUUCUCAGGCCCUGCCCAGUUCUGACUUGCCAUCAGCCUUUUUAACCCUUCGGAAGCCAGAGCCGUAUUCUGUGGGUGACUGACUGACCUCUGGAGUCUCCACAGAGGACAGUUAUUUUAGGAAGCUGCCAUCUGGGACCAGCAACUUUUGAAGUACAUACUUGCCUAGAUGCAGUUUUUGUGAUGUGCCUUUUUCAAAGCAGCUGGAAGUAAUAACUGGGUAGGAAUAUAUUUCAUAAUAAAAUUUCGAGUGCACCAUUUAAUUGAGCAGCAUCAGCUGGAGACAGGUUGUUUCAGGAUUGUUUGAAAGGUUUUAAGUGAUUGAUUCCAAGCCUUUCCUUUGUAGGAAUAGGAUACAGGUAAUGAGCCUCCCAGGAAAGCGAUGUAAUACACAUUAAGUUUAUCACAAUAGUCUUGAGAAGAGGAAAGAAGAGUUCCUGGGAGACAUUUGGCAGAGUCUGGAGAUAUUUGGGGUAAGCAUGACCCAUAGACUGGGAAGGCCCUACUGGCAGCCAGUCCAUAAAGCCAGGAGUCUGCUCUGUAACUACACAGGGCACACCCAGAAUCAUCUAGCUUGAAGUGUGAGUAGGGCCAAGGCUGGGAAGUCAUGUUUCAAAAUGUCACAUGGUUUUUAGCUCACCCAUGAACCUCAGGUUUAGAGAUCUGGAUUUGAAGUUUUCCUUUGUUAACGUACGUUUUUUAACUCUGCUUGUGCAAAUCACCAGUUAUUGAGCAUGGUGGCCAUAUAAUAACAGGUCUGACUUGUAGCUAAAUACCACCGCCUGGCUAUCACAUAUCUCAUAUCUAUGUAAUGUGGAGGUAGCAGAUACCAGCCUAGACAAAAUUAUACAGUGGCAGCCAGACUCACCCACACACAAACACUCACUCACACACUACCCACCGGGUAUCCAGUCUAGGACACUUUCUCAACCUUAGAGGAGCUUGAGAAAGUGACAUGGAUUGCCAAGGAGGCGUCCGUUGCAAAUUCUUUCAUUACUGCGUGUCAGUACACUGGGUGUAUGAAUAGAUGACUUCAUCUAAUUCUCAAAAAAGGGGAGAGAAAAGCCACGAAGGCAGUUAUCAUUUCACAGAGAAACAGCUGAUUAACCUGUAAGCAUAUGAUUAAAACACAGACUUCUAAAAAAAAGAAAUCUCAUUAUUUGCAUUCUAUUAAGUAAUGUAAACAUUACCGGAGAGGUUUGGCUAAUAUGAAAAAGGAAGAAAUGAAGAAGUCAAAAGCUUAGACUCCUAUCAGAAUGAAAUAUUCAUCAUGUGUGGAGUCCUUGUGGGCUGCACUUCCUGGGACUCGACAUUCCAACUCAGACGAGUCUGUCCCCUCAUUUGUAAAACAGAGCUUGAAACCAAUUCCAUUUAAUGUUUCUGAACUGUCAGUGUGAUGGCAAUAUGGGCACUCCUACCUCGGAGAAGGGAGGUAGGGGUCAUCUAAUCUGUGCAAGUGGGUGACUGCACAGAUGAGGUGACAGGUCUGGAUCCUUCCAGUGUCUCACUCAAGGCAGCUAUAGAAUCACAACUCAUUUCUUUUUCAUCCCACCAUAUAAUUAUCUUCUCAAGCUAUAAAAUCUUCUGAAUUACCCUCCAGAUUCUGGCAUGUAUACUUUACCAGCACAUGCAUUAUGCUAUCUUUGAAAACCUUUGCAUUCGAUUUACAUCUUCAAAGGAUCCCUAAGUUUCUUCACAGCCGGAAGUUCCCACACAGCAGAUGCUGAUGUACCUCCUGCUCCAGGCUCGGGAGCAGAAUGUUUGCCUUAAGCAGGGCUAUUGAGUAGUCAGAUGGUAUCAUGGAGGUAUGGGAGACUGUGGGCAUUCAUGACAACACUUUCAGUUGCUUAUCCAAUGUUACUUCCAAUCCCGCCCCCUUUGUUCAACAGAUGCUCCUCUGACUUCCCUUAAACUCCGUGGUGGUUACUCAAUGUCCCUGUAGCCAAUGAAUCUACUAAGGAGAACUUGGGGGAAAAUACUCCGUGCUCAAGCAGGGAAGCCUGAGAGAUUGUUUCCCCCAUCUUCCUGGCUGUCUUUGCUCCUGUUCUUAAAGCAUUAAAUGUUUGGCAUUACAACAACCAUCUUGUAUUUAUGAGAAUAGGAAGGCUAUAGGGACAUGACCCAACAUUCUCACAAUGUCAGCUCCUUAUUUCCUUUUGAAUUUUCUUUCUGAUGGAAUGAUGGGCAUGUGCCACCAUGCCUAGACCCUUGUGAAUAGUCCUGAGUAAACAAUAAAGUGUUCAUAUGGUU
ensembl:antisense Gm42901 predicted gene 42901